rnacentral:rRNA from 1 species
AUUGAACGCUAGCGGGAUGCUUUACACAUGCAAGUCGAACGGCAGCGCGGACUUCGGUCUGGCGGCGAGUGGCGAACGGGUGAGUAAUGUAUCGGAACGUGCCCAGUAGCGGGGGAUAACUACGCGAAAGCGUAGCUAAUACCGCAUACGCCCUACGGGGGAAAGCAGGGGAUCGUAAGACCUUGCACUAUUGGAGCGGCCGAUAUCGGAUUAGCUAGUUGGUGAGGUAACGGCUCACCAAGGCGACGAUCCGUAGCUGGUUUGAGAGGACGACCAGCCACACUGGGACUGAGACACGGCCCAGACUCCUACGGGAGGCAGCAGUGGGGAAUUUUGGACAAUGGGGGCAAGCCUGAUCCAGCCAUCCCGCGUGUGCGAUGAAGGCCUUCGGGUUGUAAAGCACUUUUGGCAGGAAAGAAACGUCGCGGGCUAAUACCCCGUGGAACUGACGGUACCUGCAGAAUAAGCACCGGCGAACUACGU